rnacentral:sRNA from 1 species
UGUCACGUUCGGUGGCGGGCGAUGCCGC